AGAUCUUAGAAAUAAAAAUAAAGUAGUUUUUGAAAGGAAAAUGAUAUAUGAACAACACUUUUGAACAACAUUUAGACACGGUACAGGUGUCCAAAUUUGAUUUGUCCACGUGGCAAAGAGAGAGAAAGUGAUGGAUUUUGAAAAUAAAAUGAAAUGCUGACGUGUGGCAGAGAGAGAAAGUCCGAAAGUUGAAUCUGAUAACCAUCUCGAAAUACAAAUCACAUGCCCAUUUCGCAAACACGCGUCUGUUGCCCAUCUCGCAAACCCAUUUCGCAAACCCGCCUCUCACCAUCUCAUGCUCACCGGUGACUAAUGUCGCUGCACUUCCAUUGCCGGACACCGGCCGCCCGUCCGCCGUCUUCCAUCCACCAAGAAUCGCGGUUCCAUUUGCUCGACGGCAGAACCCUAAACCCUAAUCCAGGUGAGUCUUCACUUUUUUCC
rnacentral:lncRNA from 1 species